UACGUAGGGGGCAAGCGUUAUCCGGAUUUACUGGGUGUAAAGGGAGCGUAGACGGCAAGGCAAGUCUGAUGUGAAAACCCAGGGCUUAACCCUGGGACUGCAUUGGAAACUGUCUGGCUCGAGUGCCGGAGAGGUAAGCGGAAUUCCUAGUGUAGCGGUGGAAUGCGUAGAUAUUAGGAAGAACACCAGUGGCGAAGGCGGCUUACUGGACGGUAACUGACGUUGAGGCUCGAAAGCGUGGGGAGCAAACAGG
rnacentral:rRNA from 1 species